rnacentral:lncRNA from 1 species
GAAUGCUCACAAGGGAAAUGAGAAACUGAUAUUAAGCUUUGCAGGGUUUCGAGUUGACAUUCCGGGUAAUGAGUGUUUACCGGGACACCGCGACGGUUGUCACGGGCUCGAGGGGAGUACUGGGUCGUGACAGUGAGUGCAUCAACACUAUGAUUUUUCCUACUCGAUUUUCUCACCAUAAUUCAUCAUUUCCUCAUCAAUUCACUUGAAAUAAAAUCAAAAUCAUCAUCAAUAUUCCACAUGGAGAAUUCGGCCAAUGAUGGGUAAUGGAAGAAAAUGAAUUUUUCUUACUUGAUUUUCAUGCUACACAUCACUAACUAACUAAAAACACUAAAAUAUCUUAAAAUCUAACCAAAUCAAGCAUCAAAACUCGUCCCCCCAUGUCCGGCCAGCAAGAGACCCAUCAUGAAACCAUGUGAUUCAACCAUGGAAAAUGCUAAAGAAUGUAUGGGAAAGGUAGAUCACAAGCUAGAAUUGAAAAAUCUUACCUUUUUUCACUUGUUUCCUUCAAUUUUCACACUUUUCCCUUGAAUUUUUCUGCCUAGGGCUUUUGUUUUUCUUUUCUUCCUUUGCUCUUCCUUUGGCCGGCCAAGAGAAA